GAUGAAGAACGUAGCGAAAUGCGAUAAGUAGUGUGAAUUGCAGAAUUCAGUGAAUCAUCGAAUCUUUGAACGCACACUGCGCCUUCUAGUAUUCUGGGAGGCAUGCCUGUUUGAGCGUCAUUAAACCUCUCUCAAGUAUGAUUACUUGGAUGUGAAGGAAGAGUACCUUAAACUUAAGGAGUGUUCUCCUUUGAAAUUGAUUAGCAGAUGGUAAUGUUAUUAAAUCCCUGAUGUUGUAAGAAAUAACAGUGGUUUUGUAGACUAUUAUCUAGCUUUAAAUUAUAAUUUUUAUUAUGGUUGACCUCAAAUCAGGUAAGGAUACCCGCUGAACUUAAGCAUAUCAAUAAGCGGAGGA
rnacentral:misc_RNA from 1 species